GCCGGGGUAGCUCAGCCUGGGAGAGCAUCCGGCUGAAGACCGGAGGGUCGAGGGUUCAAAUCCCUCCCCCGGCA
rnacentral:tRNA from 1 species